rnacentral:rRNA from 1 species
GUAGUCCACGCCCUAAACGAUGUCAACUAGUUGUCGGGGAAGCAAUUCCUUGGUAACGCAGCUAACGCGUGAAGUUGACCGCCUGGGGAGUACGGUCGCAAGAUUAAAACUCAAAGGAAUUGACGGGGACCCGCACAAGCGGUGGAUGAUGUGGAUUAAUUCGAUGCAACGCGAAAAACCUUACCUACCCUUGACAUGUCCAGAACCCUGCUGAAAGGUGGGGGUGCCCGAAAGGGAAUUGGAACACAGGUGCUGCAUGGCUGUCGUCAGCUCGUGUCGUGAGAUGUUGGGUUAAGUCCCGCAACGAGCGCAACCCUUGUCAUUAGUUGCUACAUUUAGUUGGGCACUCUAAUGAGACUGCCGGUGACAAACCGGA